GGGGGCAUAGCUCAGUUGGGAGAGCAGCAGACUGAAGUGUAUUACUUUCUUUGUUUGAAGUCGAUUUAUUCUGAAGGUCCCGCGUUCAAUCCGCGGUGCCCCCA